rnacentral:lncRNA from 1 species
GUGGGAAGCCAGGUGCCAUGUAAUGAGGACACUCAGGCAUUCUACGGAGAAACCCACAUGGCAGAGAAUGGAAGCCUAUGGCCAAUAACCAACAGGAAUUGAGACCUGCUAGCAACUAACCACAUGAUCCUGGUAGCAGAUUCUCAAGCCCCAAUUCUGAACAUCAAUCAAAAUCAGAGAAGCUCACCAUCCUGAUUCUGAUUCAGAAAUGAUUUGUUGUCCUCUCAACGGUUAAUCACAGAAUACAAAUUCCAAGG